ensembl:lncRNA
GGGAGAACAGGAGGUGAACCCAGACAGAAGGGGGACUGUGGAGAGAAAGGAACAGUGAGACAGACAUGGAGAAAUGGUAACAUGCUAGAGAAGGGGAGAGAUGACACCCUAAUGACACCAUGUGUCUUGCCUUGCUGUGAUUCCUGCUACUCACACAGGACAGGAGAUGGAGGUGCUGCUGGUUCCCUCUCCCCUCUCCUACCCUCAUUAAGACGUUAGUGCAAUUUGGCAAAUGUACCGUGACGACAUUCCCUGAGUAAUAUCCUAAUGCUAGCAUUGCACUAUGGGCCGUCUCCAGCAGGCAUGGCUGUGAUUUUACUCCUCCGUCCUCUACCCUGCAUGUGCUGCUAUAACGCUACUGAUGGAUUACUCAGUGAAAGACGCAGGGCGGAUCACAGAUGGGCCCCCUACUCCACAUGGGCCUUAGGCUGAAAGUAGGGUACUGAGAUAAGGGUACAGGGUGGUAUUUGAGAUGCAUGCUUAAUGAUGUAACAUCCCACUGGAUCAAAAUAAGGUGCGCAUUUUGUAAUAUCCACAUUCUUUCACAGUUAUUGCCACGUCCUACUGCUUUGAGCUUGUCUUUUCAUUUGAUAUCCACAAAUACCACACUGGUGGGGACAGGCAGCAGUGGAACGUACCGCACUGGAGAUAUUAGGUACCUCAAACUGUGAUUACGGGAACAACGGCUGUUUUAGUGUCUACACUGCUUCAGUAGGUGUGUACAUGUUUACAUUGUUUUAGUAGUUGUGUUAGUGUCUACACUGCUUCAGAAGGUGUGUUAUUGUCAACACUGCUUCUUUAGGUGUGUAAAUGUUUACACUGUUUUAGUGUUUGUGUUAGUGUCUACACUGCUUCAGUAGGUGUGUUAGUGUCUACAUUUCAUCAGUAGAUUUGUUAGUGUCUACAUUUCUUCAGUAGAUUAGUUAGUGUAUACAUUGCUUCAGUAGGUGUGUUAGCGUCUUCAUUAAAUCUAUAGGUGUGUUAGCGUCUCCAUUACAUCUAUGGGUGUGUUAGCGUCUCCAUUACAUCUAUGGGUGUGUUAGUGUCUACACUGCUUCAGUAGGUGUUUUAAUGUCUAAACUGCUUCAGUAGGUGUGUUAUUGUCUACAUUAAAUCUAUAGGUGUGUUAGCGUCUCCAUUACAUCUAUGGGUGUGUUAGUGUCUACAUUGCUUCUGUAGGUGUGUUAGCGUCUACACUGUUUUAGUAGUUGUGUUAGUGUCUACACUGCUUCAGUAGGUGUGUAAGUGUCUACAUUACAUCAAUAGGUGUGUUAGUGUCUACCUUACAUCUACC